UAUGGUUUUUAUGUUUAAAAAAAAAAGAAUGGGUUGUUACUUAGAUACAUCAACUAUUUUAUACAUUUUAUAUGCAGCCCAGGACAACUCCUCUUCACUCAAUGCGGUGCUGGCAAUUCGAAUGUUUGGACACUCGUGUUUUAAGGUUUUUUUUUUCUUCUUUUGUUCUAUCUUUUUCCUUCAUUUUCUUUUCUUUUUUUUUUUAACUCUAUUAAUUCUUCCCCAGUGACCUGGAUUUCUCUUUUAUUUCCCCUUGUAGUUAUCGAGUUUUGUUGUACUUUUAGCUGUCUACAUUUUUUUUUUUACAUUUGUAUUGACAUUUUAUAUUGAUCUAUUUCCUGUAUAUGUUGUUUUUCAUUUUAAUUUCUUUCAUCUCUCUAACUACAAUUUUUGCAUAUGUCUUUACACUGCAAUUUUAUAGCGUUUUUAUAGCUGUUUUCCAAAGACUGCAAUUAUUUUUGCAAAAUUUUCUCUUCUUUAGUCCUUUGUAGUCAUUAUUUAAAUUCCCCUGUUUUGUGAGAUCUAUACAUCUUCAUUGCACUCUUGGUUUCAGGCAGGGGAGAUUAGUAUUUUUUUAUACCCAAAAUAAUUGAUUAUCUCGAGAGAAAAUUCAUUUAUUUCCUGUGUUUUCUUGUAUCUCUAAUUAUGGAAUAAUAAUAACUACUAUUGUUUGCAAUCUGAAAAAUUUCUUAUACUCCUUAAAAGAAAAAACAAAUCCUGUUUCAGUUCUGAUUGUGUACAGACUGAUUCAGAUCCAUUUCAUUUACAUCCCCCACUAAUUUUAUCUUGAUUUUAAGUGUUGUUUUUGUUUCUUCUAGAAACACAUCAUCUGCUGUCUCGUUUUAAUAUUAUUCCUUAAAAACACUUUGCUGAUAUCCUAGCUCUUUAUUUUCAACUGUGUAAAGCUUUGAGUAUCCUCAUACAGGUGUACUGGAAUAGCUCUACCAAAAUGUUAACUUGUUUUGGCUCUAUGUAUCUCUAAAAUCAAAGUUGCAUUCAUCAUAUAAUUUAGCAUAGAAAUAACAGCAUGUAAUAUAUACGCAUUCUGCAAAAUUCCUCCUACAGAUCAAUAAUUUUUCUGCAUCCCAACACAGCUCAAAUUGUAUGAUUCUCUGUAUGUAUUCUUUGGACUCUUAAGAGAAGGAAGAAAUUUAUACUCAUCUGCAUUGAAUGUCACAGAACUAGAUAGUAAGAAUAAAUAAGAGAACCCUUUGAAUUUCUAGAUAGUAUUUCAAGCUUCUCUUGCAGUACAUUGGGAAAACAGCAUAAUUAAUAUAACCCAGCCCAUAUUUUCUUAUCUUUCUCUUUCUAAAGAGUCUCUCAGGAGAGAAUAAUUGGCAAAAUAGAGCAUUCAUUGAUCUCAUAUCUAUAGAAUUUAAGAUUUAAGGCCAAGAAACAUCAUAAAAUCUGUUCAUGCACCACAUGUUACAUUUUUGGAUGUGUUUUCCACAUAUUUUUCUCUCACUCAUUUAUUCAUUUGCAACUUUAUGCGCUACUAAAAUGCCUACUGAAAUAUAGACAUUUAAGAGAAAUUACAAAAUAAAUUCUAACUAUAAACAGUGUAUAUUUAUUUUAUAUUUAUUUUUAGCCAGCCCUCUCUCAAAUUAUUGUUUCAAAUCUAUCUCCAGGACAUCCUCUAAAAAAUAUUGCAAAUGCAAAUAGUCAAAUAGAUUUUAACUUACACAGAAAAAGAGAGAAAAUGAAAUGCCAGGGGUAAUUCCAAAUCUCCAUGAUGAGUUCUCUCCUCCUUACAGUACACUCUCCAUUUGUGAAACUGACAUUUUGGAUUGAAGGCGUCAGUAAUUCAAAGAGGGCGAGGCUUCAUUGUUACGUCUCAGCUACAGUUAAUCCUUCACACAGGGAAGUGAGACCAAGGCAAACAGUCCUUGAAAUGAACCAAGGAAACGGUACUGUUGUUCUUUCAUGUGAGAAGAGUUACAGACAGCUCCUGAACACCAAGGCCAGAGAAAUCAGCUGGCUCAAAAUUACGCUGCUUGGGCCUCCCCCCCUCACACAUCCUUGCCUUAGAGAGAAUCAAGGAGUGAAAUAACAGUGAAAGGCUCCAAUCAUGCCUUUUCCACCGUCUCACUGACACAUGGAAGAUCUAGAUGUCAAAACCAGAAAGAGAAGAUGAGAUUUCCUUCAUGCAUACAGGCACAAAUAGGGUAUAGAUCAGUAUUUACACAAAGGAGUCCCUGAGGACUAUGAACACCGCUGCUCGGAGUCUAGAAAUCUGUCUACUUCUCCUAGAGAUACUGUUCAAGUGAAUGGGUGCAGCAAAGCAACUGGUACGGCACAGAGGUGGAGGACUGGUAUGCUGGAAUUUCAAACACUUUGGGACACUUUCUGCUCCCCUCAAGAAAACUUAAAUCACUUAAAUAUAUGUGGUUAAACAAAGUACGGAUAUAUAUCCCCUUGGUUUAUUUCAACGACAUGAAUGCAAACAGGCUAAGUUGGUGAGAAGUGUAUGUAGAAUCUCUUACUGUGUGGUAGGUGAACGGAGUCAGAGGAACUUUAGGAAUAACACUUAAAGUCCCUUGAUUUGAGAAGAAAGCCGUGCCACUUCCUUGUGAUGUCUGUGUGACACUCAUAGUGUGAAACAGCUGAAUGACUUAAAGUUUUAUGCAUUUCUUUACAUGACUGCCAGCAUAAACAUUCUAUUACAAGAAUCUGUUCCUCUCUGGCAUUUUAUGUAAGAUCAGACUGGCGUUUCUGCUAGAACUGCUAUGAACCUGGGCUCUUCAGGCAUCUGGAUACACUAAUAGCAGACAAGAAUUCUUCACUGGACAUUUUAGUCAGGACCCCACCGUUUCUGACUAAUGCAAUUAUCAGAUUAUGCCAGAUGACAUUGGAACAAAGCUAGCAGCCACCAUGCAUGCUCUGCCCCUGCACAGAGAGCCCAUUCACCUACAUGUCUGCCAUCAGUUUGCUUUCAGCUGUCUUCCUAAAGGUAAUGAUAAGAUGGGAUUAAAAUGAGAUCUCCUGGCCCUCAGAGAACACUUAUUCAGUCUCGGAUUGCUAUUAUCUUUCUCUUCAUUUAGCAACUUUCUGGCAUUCUCCACCAAGGAAAGUAGAAAAAAAAAUAGAGAUAUUGAUGGCAGACCCCUCUUCUUUCCUGAUUUCAUCUGGAAAUGAAGCUUGGAAAUUGUCUUUCCUGACAAGCUUUCCUUGAAGAACCACUUGAAGUUCCAAAAGUGAUAACUGAGAAUCAUUUCACCAAGCACAGCGACUCCACAGCCAACCCAGCCUCCCUGAUCUCAAUUAAGACAACUUAGUAAAGACGUUUGUUUAGCGUUUCCAACAACUCUUUCUUCUAGUUACGGUUGAAGAGAUGAAAGGAAGCGUGAACUCAGCCUCAAGAAGCGAAACCAGGCUGAACAAACCAGAUGAUUCCGAAUCAGCCUUGCCUCCGGCUGCUGGCUGACAGCUCUCUGUUCAGCUCUGCUGGGUAACAAGGGGAGGGGAAAGGCACACUGGUGGGUGAGGCAAAGGGAGUGGGAAGCAGGCCAAGGAAGGAGCCUUUCCUCUGUUGUGUAAUCCAGAAUGCAUGCUGCGGUGCUAAUAGUGAGAUGAGAAGUGCCUUCCAGCUUCCAGUCAUCCUGUUGAUGACUUAAACAGCAUGUGAAUAAGAUUUAUGGGGAAAGACUUAUAUACAAGUGUAAAGAAAAGUACAUAGCCAGAACGCUUAAACAAACACAGCAACACAAGUAACCUUGAAACAUGCAGCCUUAUGGGUUUCUUGUUUAACUCUGCUUUCUGUUGGUUCAAUGAGAAUAUUUUUAUAAACCUAACUCCAUCUAUUCAACUAUAUAAAAUUAACCUAUAGCUGUCAGAAUCUGCAUUUGUUCAAUAAGGAAAAUAAAGAAAGAAAGUGCA
ensembl:lncRNA